AUAGCUGGGGGGCAGAAAGGGGGCGAAGCGGUCACGUUAUAAGGUUGAAGUGUGUGUGAGCGAGUGUGUGUUGCGAGGGUAAACUUAGAUACUCCAGUGAUAGUUUCUUUUAAUUAAUUUAUUUCAUAUUUUCGAAGUCAUUUAUGGUUUGCAGUGUUUUUUUUUAUGCUUUAUCGAGAUUCUGGUUAACUUAUUUAUUUCCCUUAUCACUUAUUCCUUCAGUAUUACCUUCUUUAUCACAUUAAUUAUCCAUAUCUGUUACAUUUUAUCAAUAAUUUAUGGUUUUUAGUGUGAUUUUAUAUUCCUGUAGGAUAAACUAAUUCUGACUGGCUUCGUUACUCAUAUUUCCCUUAUUACUAUACGGACCAAGCAAGUUUCAGGUAAGUUUUAAUUUAAUUUUAUCCACAUAAUUCCACGCCGGUAAGUUUUGGUUUUAUUAAUAAUUCGACGAGGUAUGAAGACGCGCACCGCUUUCUACCUCUUAGACACGUUAAUUCACCUUCAGAGCUCCCGGAAAGCCAUAAUUAAAGUGUGAAAAUAUCAAAACUAGUCUCCAGGAAAGCCAUAAUUAAGUUUAAGCUUCUAAAAAUGCUUGAAAAUGGCUAUAUUAUAUGUGUGUGGCUUUCUUGAGUGAUUUAGAGCGGGAAAUGGGGGGCGUCCCUUUUCUCUGCUCUGAUUGGCUGUCCUGGGGGCCUUGCUGUGCGCUGAUUGGCUUUGAGCUCCCCGCCUUUUUUUCCUGCUCUGUGAUUGGUCGCGGCACCAGGUCAGCAGCUUCCCCCUCAUUGCAACUUUGGCGCCAAAAUCUCGCUCCCUCACACACACGCCUCUUAACCUUCAAGACUCGUAGAAAACCAUAAUUAAAGUGUGCAAAGACUAAAAGUAACCUCUUGGAAAGCCAUAGUAAGAAUGUAAGGCUUAAACAGGCUUGGUCGCGGUGCAAAGGACGGCUUCCCUCAUAAGAAUCUUUGCCGCCAAUUUCUCGCACCCUCACACACACGCCUCUUAACCUUCAAGACUCGUAGAAAACCAUAAUUAAAGUGUGCAAAGACUAAAACUAACCUCCCGGAAAGCCAUAGUAACAUUGUAAGGCUUAAAAUAGGCUUGGAAAUAACUAUAUAUGUGUGUACGGACCCGACAAUUUCUCGCUCUUUCACACUCACGCCUCUAAACCUUCAAAGCUCCAAGAAAACCAUAAUUAAAGUGUGCAAAUACUAAUUCUAAUCUCCCGGAAAGCCAUAAUAACAUUGUAAGACUCAAAACAGGCUUGGAAAUAACUAUAAUAUAUCUUUGGCUUUGGCGGGAGAGGGCAGCGUCCCUAUUCUGUGCUCUGAUUGGCUGCCCGGAGCUUCCUGUGCGCUGAUUGGCUGGGAGUCUUCGCGUCUACACAGCCAUGGCCAUCUGUCAACCCCACCCCAUGGCCCCGCUGGCUCCCACUUUUUCUUGCCUCCACGAGCUUGCCAGGGACUUGUGGAGUGUAAUUUGAGUUGCCCUGACACAACAUGUAAGGGGCAGAAACAGAAGAUUACAGCACCCAAUACCUACCACGACAUGCUACUACACACAAUACUAGCACAGCCAUACCAAGAAAACAAGGUGGACAUUUUAGAACUAUUGUUAUGUAAAGAAGCAAUAAGACUGUGAAGUCAAGAAAGACCUGAUCAGAAGAAUGGGGAAGAAGAGAAGAAGAAAAGAAAACUGACCUCUUUUACAAUACACAGGUUACUGGACCCCUCCCUAAUCAAGAAACUUGAAACAUGCAUAAACAGAAGGAAGGAAAUUAAAUAUAUGCAAGAAUUUUGGAAGAAUCGCUUAAAAUCCGAGAAGGGACGGCAGCACUCAACCAGGCACAAGAAAAUCAAGAAGUGGAGGCUCUGAACUGCACUGAACUGAACUGUAAACUUUAUCAGAAGGGAGGAUAUUAAAUAUACUCAAGAGUUUUAGAAGAAUCGCUUAAAAAUCAGAGAAGAGAAGGCAGCACAACCAAGCACAAGAAGACCAUUUAGAGGGGCAAAGGCAACCCUCCGAACAGAACUGGAAACAAACAGAAGGGAGGAAAUUAAAUAUACUCAAGACUUUUAGAAGAAUCGCUUAAAAUUGGAGAAGAAAAGGCAGCACAAUCAGGCACAAGAAGACCAUUUAGAGGGGUCGCUGCAAAGGCACUCCCUCCGAACUACACUGCACUGAACUGACCUGGUUACGGCGCCUGUACAAGUGACCCGGGAUGGAGUACUGGCGGCAGGGCGGCUCUGCGAAAGGUGUGUAUGUGAUUUUACCUGCUGUAUGGGUGUAUGAUAGAAAGCAAAGGUUUUCAGUACUAUUAUGUCAACUAGGUACUAUUAUUGUAUGAACUGGGUACUAUAUUUACUAUGUGCCAUUACUGUUCUGUCAAUUAGGUAGGUUUUCUUAUAUACUAACAAGGUUUUCACUUUUAUCAACCAGGUAUUUGAUUAACUGUUACCAAGGUUUUCUUUACUAAUAUAUUGCAAGGUUUUCAUU